rnacentral:lncRNA from 1 species
GAUCAUCUUGUAUACCUAAUUCUGGCUUCAUCUUCAGACUCGGGCAGGCAGAGCUCAGAGAUGGGAUGACCCUGUGUUCUUGACGGAAUCAACCAGUCAUGCGGAUCCUGCUAUUUCUGGACUGGCUGUUAGGAGGCAAACUGAGCUCCUGAAUCAUUAGGAUGGACUCGCCAUCAACAGAAUCUGCUUUUAGUGGAAUGGGUCUUCGGAUAAUCUGUUUUCAUCACAUCAAGAGCUAAGCCAGUCAGUUAACACAGGGGAAAUAUUAAAGGCAGUAUUUUUUCAUUAAGGGAUGAAGCUCAACUCCUCAUCAACCAGCAAGCACUUUAUGGAACUUAAGAAAGGAAGACCCCAUAAGUGGACGAAGCUGAGUUAUGUUCUGCUUCCCCCACACAGAUCCGUACAACAGGACUGCCUAUCACAUGCCAACCAGC